rnacentral:lncRNA from 1 species
UGGGAGCUUAAGGGCGCCGGCACGCGUUCCCCUGGCGCAGAGCUCGCUAGCCGGGGCGCGGGCUGCCUCCUUGUUCUGGUGUGAUCCGAAUGUAACGGAGCGGACUUUGGGAUCCAGAACCCCGGACUGAGGUUGUGCUUGGCUUGAGGGGCGGGCUGGAUUUUUCCUCUUAGGAUUUAUUUCCCUGGAGACCUCAUGAAGAAUGAUGUGGGUUCUAUAGGGUACAGUGUGAUCUGGGUCCUGCCUAAUCUCCUUUCUAAACUUCAGAAAAUCAUGUACCUUGGAGUUGUGGAGGCAUGUUUAUAAGCAGAUCUGAGUUUUGCCACACUGGAAUUUAUUUAUUCAUUGAACAAAUAUUUAAUACCUACUACAAUUCUUAGCCGAUAUAUCAGCACAACUUCUCUGCUCCAACUAGUCUACAUUGCAAAGCAUCUCCUAGUGUCUUUGGAAGAAGGAUCUAUGGUGUUAUAUGUGAACAAAGAUGUAGACUAGUAAGGUAUCAAGAUUUGAUGGGGAUAUCCAGACAACUUGGAGCCAAGUCCCCACAGCUGGAUCAGACAACUUUUGGUGACAUCUCACAGUGUGGAUUAUCAAGCCAGUGUAUCAGUCUGGAGCCUAGGUUUUUUGCCUUUAGCUUUGCUCAGGAUGACUUCUGCUCUUCUAUGGCAAUACUUGAGAAGCUACAGCUUUGAUUAGACGAGAGGCUAUUUCAAUAACUUUCUCCUGAUAAGAAGACCACCGACCGUGGACGGAUUCUGGCCAGUUUACAAAGGCUGCAUACCAUAGGGCAGGGCACCCCACUAUGGCAAACACUAAUAAUGAUAUUGCUCCUGAUUUUGUUUCUGAAGGGAAUGCCUCUAAGAUUUCUUCAUUAAUUAUAAGAGACUGGGUCUCACUCUGUUGCCCAAGCUGGAGAACAGUGGCACCAUCAUAGCUCACUGCAGCCUUCAACUUCUGGGCUCAAGUGCUUCUCCCACCUCAGCCUCCCAAGUAGCUGGGACAACAGGUGAAAUUGAAGGCCAGCUUUUGGAACUCAACCUUCAAAGGAACUUAAAAUUUCCAUUAUGUAGAGUCCCUGAGGAAACUGGAUCCACUAGCUACACUGGCUGAGAAUGCUCUCACCCCAGGAUUUCAUUUUUAUUUUACCACAUCAUUGUUGGUAUCUUAAGAUCAAUGUACUGGAGCAGCGGGGUCUCACAAAGAGGAUACCUGGUGACACGCCCAGGCUUUCAGAAUGCACUAUAGGGCUUUAGUGACUUGUCCAGGUUCAGCUGAAAUGUGCCAUCUGGGACCUACUAAUGCUUGUUGAACUUUACUGGAUCUCAGAAGCUGGGUCUCAGAAGCUCAGAUGUUCCUCAGAGCUACGAUAUCAACAACCUGUGAUGACAGAGAGAAGGUUGCUCCAUGAUGGAUUUGGAAACUUACUGGCUAGCUAAACCUGACUGAAUGGGAAGGAAUGUGGAUAGCUUUGGAACUCUAGUUUCACUAGAUGAGCUGGAAUUUGUAUUUUGACAAAUUGCACGUUAUGAUUAUUAAGUAAUGCAACUGAUUUUUUUUUCCCUUAAAACAAACAAUCUAGAAUCUGUGUAAUCAAAAUAAUUUCUCUAAAAGGCUGCAAGUAUAUGCUUAAAGUGUUGGGGCAUUCAGAGCAUUUGGAACAUUACAUUCUUUUGAAUGUCAAUUGGUAGAUGAAAAUACCAGCUUUUAAGUCAUACAUUUGAUUUUUUGAAACAAUAUGCAUUUAGAGUUUGUAAGUCAAGUGAAUAACUGAUAAGGUAAAAAAAAGGGGGAGUUCAUUGUUGAGUAUGAAUUUAAAGUAACCAGACUGCCUUUUGUCCAGUGGCUGUCAGUAAUUUACUUCAGCAGGCAUUUUUUUUUUUUUGAGGCUGUUCUAUGAUAUCAUGACCCUUCUUGUAGGAAUGUGCUUCCAGUGGUGAGGCAGUCUGAGAAUGUGUGAAGCAGUAUAAUGAAGCCAGACCAAGAUGGAAGCUUGGCCUGGGAUUUGAGCAUCAGGAAAACUGUUGAAGGGUUAUGUAUACAUCACACACACACACACACACACACACACACACACACACACACACACACUCUCUUCCAUACUCCUAUAACAACGUAUAGUAUUUACUAUACCUGGUGACAGGUAUUUACUAUACAUUGUUGAAGAUCUAUAACAUGGAAUGCCUAGUGCUAAGUGCAGUGUCCUUAGUGAAAUUGUAUUGGUUUGGAAUUAUUUAUGAGUUUGGGAUUAUUUGUCACUACCCUUAAAUGAUCUUGACACUCACCUAUUUGAAAAGAUAUUGAGGAUUUGCCAUUUGAUAUUGACCAGGGUGUAUUGUGCACAAAUAUUGUGAAUAUACAUCUGUCUGUCCUUAAAUCACUGUAAGUUUUAACUGGAAUAGAUUUGCUCCACAUUACUCGGUAGGGCUGAUAUUUCAUGCCUCAUGGAUGAGAAAAGAAUAGGCAAAAAUUAUAUCUCGGGCUGCCUCACACAUCUUUUAACAGGAUAAGGGAAAAAUAAAUAUAAGACCUAUGAGUUAUGGCAUCAGGCUUGAACUUUAAUUUAUGAAUUAAACCAACAAUAUUAUUGAUUAUUGCAAUUAUCUAUCUUAAUUUCAUUUGUUCUCCUUUUAAAAAUUAAUUAUGUUUAUUUUACCUAUUGUGAAUAAAGUCACUCCUCCCAUGUGCUUAUUUCUUGACUCUGGCACUAAUUAUUCUUCAGUGCCUAGAUUUCCUGGGACUGCUCAGUUUAAGUAACUUCUGAACAUUGGUCUCUGAGAGAAAAGACAGUGAAGUGGGAUCUGUGGAAAAACACAUCUGCAAAUGUCUCAUUUUUUUCUUCAGGGGUAAGUUUUCUUCCUUGGAGACUCUUGUCUUGAAAAAGUGAUACUAGAUCACCAUUUGGCAAGAUAAUUACAAAAGGCAGAUAGAGUAAUUAUUUUACAUAGCUGUUAUAGGGUGACUAAGAUCUCAGGGAAUGACUGUGUUCUGUAAUCCACUUGCCCCACUCAAUACCCCAAGUUUUAUACAAGCCAAAGAUGCUUGGAGCAGAAUCUGCUACCUGAGGCUCCAGGGCCUUGGCCUAGGGAAACUAAUACUUAACUUUUUAAGUGGUCAUUGAUGACAUCCCACUCCUUUCUGAGAUGGGUAUGAUUUGAAAGGCAGGUGUAUUCAUGGAGAGCAGGGCUUGGGACCUUUGCUGCAAGAGGAGGAACUAUUAGCCUAGACUUUUCUAAUAAGGACUUUCUCAUACCUGUUUCCUAGAUCUGGUCCACAUAGAAGAAAUCAGGGAACACACAGGGUAGGACUCUUAAAGGAGUAUGUUUCUUGGCUUUUUCCUAAAAACUAAAACAAAAACAUUCAUAGCAAAGCAGUUUAGCCCAGUGACUAAGAGUAUAGACAUUGGAAUCUGAAAGAUCUGGGUUGGAAUUCUGCUUCAGCCAUUUACUAAUUAUGUAACUUCACAUCUCUGAGAAUGGGGGAAAUUUUCUUUGCAGGGUUGUUACAAAGCUUAAAAGAGUUAAGUCAAGUGCCUGGAACAGAACAGCCAUUCAAUAAAUCAUAGAAAUUUUUGUUUUUACACAAAUUUUUAAAAAGUAAUAUUUUUUGCAUUUGUUAGAAAGACUAUAUUUUCUGUUUAGUGGAUGACAUCAUCAUCAUAAAAAUCACUGUUACAAGUUUUGUUUUGAGAAUUAAAAUCAUAUAUUAAUCCCAA